rnacentral:pre_miRNA from 1 species
AGUAUAAUUUCUGGAUCAUAUUGUAAGAAUAUGUUAAGUUUUUUAAGAAACUUACAAAUUAUCUUCCAAAGUGACCAUACAAUUUUGGUAUUCUUAUCAGCAAU